UUUCCGUAGGUGAACCUGCGGAAGGAUCAUUAUUGAAUAAACCUGAUGUGGUUGUAGCUGGCCCUUUCGGGAGCAUGUGCACACCCGUCGUCUUUAUCUUUCCACCUGUGCACCUUUUGUAGACCUGGAUGUAACACUUCCCGAGGCAACUCGGUCGGGAGGAAUGCUGUCAGCUUUCCUUGAAUGUCCAGGCCUAUGUUUUCAUAUACCCCAAAGAAUGUAACAGAAUGUAUUAUUGGGCCUUGUGCCUAUAAACUAUAUACAACUUUCAGCAACGGAUCUCUUGGCUCUC
rnacentral:misc_RNA from 1 species